rnacentral:rRNA from 1 species
GAUGAACGCUGGCGGCGUGCCUAAUACAUGCAAGUCGAGCGAACGGACGAGAAGCUUGCUUUUCUGAUGUUAGCGGCGGACGGGUGAGUAACACGUGGAUAACCUACCUAUAAGACUGGGAUAACUUCGGGAAACCGGAGCUAAUACCGGAUAAUAUUUUGAACCGCAUGGUUCAAAAGUAAAAGACGGUCUUGCUGUCACUUAUAGAUGGAUCCGCGCUGCAUUAGCUAGUUGGUAAGGUAACGGCUUACCAAGGCAACGAUGCAUAGCCGACCUGAGAGGGUGAUCGGCCACACUGGAACUGAGACACGGUCCCAGCUCCGACGGGAAGGCAGAAUAGGGGAACUUCCGGAAUUGGGGGAAGCCUGGAGGAACAACGCCGCGUGGGUGAAGAAGGUCUUCGGAUCGGUAAACUCUGUUAAUAGGGAAGAACAUAAUUGGUAAUUACUUUGCACAACCUGGCGGUACCUAAUCAGAAAGGCACGGCUAACUUCGGG